GUGCUCGCUUCGGCAGCACAGAUACAAAAAUUGGAAUGAUACAGAGAAGAUUAGCAUGGCCCUUGAGCGAGGAUGACACACAAAUUUGUGCAACGUUCCAUAUUUUU
rnacentral:snRNA from 1 species